AUCUCCCAGGUGAAGGUUGCUUCGAUCAUCUCCUCUGAGCACAUCGCCCAAUUUGUUGCGCUUUGGGAAAUACUCACCCACAUCCAGCUAAACCUGGACAUGCAGGACCCCAUCACCUGGAAACUCACUGCUGAUGGCCAUUACUCCGCGGCCUCAGCAUACAGGGCUCAGUUUCUUGGAUUGGUGGACACGGAUAUGAACCAAAAUGUUUGGAAGAACUAG
rnacentral:rRNA from 1 species